rnacentral:rRNA from 1 species
UACGUAGGGGGCAAGCGUUGUCCGGAAUUAUUGGGCGUAAAGGGCUCGUAGGCGGUUUGUCGCGUCGGGAGUGAAAACCAGGUGCUUAACACCUGGCUUGCUUUCGAUACGGGCAGACUAGAGGUAUGCAGGGGAGAACGGAAUUCCUGGUGUAGCGGUGAAAUGCGCAGAUAUCAGGAGGAACACCGGUGGCGAAGGCGGUUCUCUGGGCAUGACCUGACGCUGAGGAGCGAAAAGUGUGGGGGAGCGAACAGG